CCCUGUCUCACUCCUGCCGGUAGCUGCUAGCUGCUAGCUGCUAGCUGCUGGCUGCUAGCUGCCGUCUGGUGAGUGUGUUCAGCCAGCCUUCUGUGAUAAUCAUCCCAACAUCAAUCCACAGAGCAGCGGUGGUGUGGCUAUGUCCUCCUGAGGACAGGUCAUGUCACGUCUUGAAGUUUUUUCCCCUCCC